UAGCAUCUAACACAUCAAUAGUGUUUCAGAACACAAUGUGAAUACAUAGUACGAUUUGAAAAACAGCCGUAAAGAAUAUAUCUCUAAUACUUGAUAGUCUUCUGAAUUUUUUUUCUUUUUUCAUAUAUGGAAUAGUUGAUUUUUCUUGCUCGGCAUAACUAUUAACACUUGUUUUGAGGUAUAGUGAAAAAUGAAGAGAAGCAUUUGGAUUUGUGGAAGGUGUCGCAUAUAAACCCUUUUGGAAAACCAAUUCUACAUUACUUCAUACUCUCCUCAAGUCGAGAUACUUACUCAUUCAAUCAAUCUAUUUCUCUUUCUCUAUUACCAUACGAUAAAAUCGGUUUUCUAAAAAAGUUCUGAUUUAUGUGAUGUUGUUCCUCACGAUGCUCAACCUCAUUCAAACUUAGGGAGAGGGAGCACUUUUCUUUUGGUGUUUUCCAUCUUGAGUGAGGUUCAACAUUGUGAGAAGAGCAUCACAUAACUCGGAACUUUCUGGAAAACCGAUUUCAUGAUGGAAUGGUGGUAGAAAGAGAGAGAUAGAUGGGUUGAAU
rnacentral:lncRNA from 1 species